rnacentral:rRNA from 1 species
GACGAACGCUGGCGGCGUGCUUAACACAUGCAAGUCGAACGGAAAGGCCCUGCUUUUGUGGGGUGCUCGAGUGGCGAACGGGUGAGUAACACGUGAGUAACCUGCCCUUGACUUUGGGAUAACUUCAGGAAACUGGGGCUAAUACCGGAUAGGAGCUCCUGCUGCAUGGUGGGGGUUGGAAAGUUUCGGCGGUUGGGGAUGGACUCGCGGCUUAUCAGCUGGUUGGUGGGGUAGUGGCUUACCAAGGCCUUGACGGGUAGCCGGCCUGAGAGGGUGACCGGCCAUAUCGGGACUGAGAUACGGCCCAGACUUCUACGGGAGGCAGCAGUGGGGAAUAUUGCACAAUGGGCGGAAGCCUGAUGCAGCAACGCAGCGUGCGGGAUGACGGCCUUCGGGUUGUAAACCGCUUUCGCCUGUGACGAAGCGUGAGUGACGGUAAUGGGUAAAGAAGCACCGGCUAACUACGUG